UUUGUUUCUGACAUACAUUGCAUGAAAUGAGAUCAAAGCUUAGAUGAAAAAUUACUUUAAAUGGAAGGACAAUAUUAAAGGAAAUUCUUACAGCUUCUAAUGCAGAAAUCAUUCCACUAUAGUAACUAUUAUUUAUUACCAAUGAUUUCAGAGGCUAGAUAAGUUAUUUUCCUGGACUUUUUUACUUCAGGCAUUGGGUUGUGUUUUAUUCCCAACAUAUGUCCAAUUUUAGGUUGUUAAACUACAAUCAAAAGCACUUAGCACGAAUGGAACUGUCCCUGUCUUGAGAUUUGAACUGCUGACAUCUUUAUCCGCUGAAACUUGAGUGCCCAGGACCCACCAGAGAGGGGAUUUUGGGAGCAUUUCACAAGGCCUGCGGCUGUGAGCUGGUUCCAGCAUGAGGAAAAGCCCUCCUUCACCCCAAUGCACAGGAAAGAGAAGACAGAUGACAGUAGCUAUCCUCCUUCCAUUCUGAGGAAAAGGCCACCUGUGGACCAAGCUGUGGGGGAAAAGCGGAGAGCAGAGAGAAGGGUUCGAUUUCGUGAGCCAGAAGAAGUCAUUGAACAUGUCAUUUCCUGCUGUGACUACGUUGUGGGUAAGUUGAAUUUUUCACAUUAUAACUGUGAGCCAUCCAUAGCAUUAACCUGAGUUUGAUUUUCAGCUGGUGGGGUGCACUGUGCAAAUAUACCCUCCAUUUACACAGCAUUUUGUGUUGUCAGUGGUUGUUGCUUUUUCUUCUCAGAGUAAGCAGCACAAUGAUGUGCUCUGGUGCAAUUUUAAACAAGACAUCUAGUAAGACAGAUAGUGGAAACAAAAAUUAAAUCCCUGAAGCUAUUUUUAAUUUAAAUAUAAUUAAUAUAUUUUUAUGGCAUUAGAAUAGGUACAGGUUUCUCACUAAGAUAUGCAAGGAAAGCACCCCAAGCUAAACAAUAGUUCUCCCCGCCGAGUUCCACAUGAGGGAAAGAGACAAUUCAUUUAUAUGCUGACAGCAGGGUAGAAAUAAUAAAAAUAAUUGUUUUUUUCUCUUUUCUGUUUGA
rnacentral:lncRNA from 1 species